ACCAGCGUGGCUCAGUGGUAAGAGCCCGGCCCUGGGAGUCCGAGGUCAUGGGUUCGAAUCCCACCUCUGCCA
rnacentral:tRNA from 1 species